rnacentral:tRNA from 1 species
GACACUUUGGCCGAGUGGUUAAGGCGUUGGCCUGCUAAGAGCAAUCUAGCAAAGUUAGCCAAUGGGUUCGCCCGCGUGAGUUCGAAUCUCAUAGGUGUCG